rnacentral:tmRNA from 1 species
GGGACCGCAACGGUUUCGACGUGUUAGUAGAAGCCGACUUAUGAUACAGGUCGAGAGGGAGUGUCUCUCGUAAAUCAAAGCUCAAAAAAUAGAUGCAAACAACAUCGUACCCUUCGCUCGUAAAGCAGCUGCUGUAGCUGCCUAAGAAUCAGACAAAAUCGAUUCCGAGGCUCAAUAGACGACUCCGUUAAGUUUAUUGAGAUAACCCCAACGGAUGCUGCAGCUAAUCCUCUUCUGUGGAUUGCUGCCUAAGACUUACAGAAGCAUCCCUACUAUCGGGGACAAUUGAUAGUCCUUGUUACCAAGGUCAAGGUAACUAAGCCUGUGAAUGAGUAAGCGGUUAGGCGCUGAUGCGGACGGCAGUUCGACUCUGCCCGGUUCCACUA